AGCAAGGAAGCACCUUGGAGGUGCCAAGAACUCUUCGUAGAUGGUCCCUUUGUGGAGCAGUGAUGGAUUCGAGAAGGCUGUGAGAACAACACCACAGACUCAGGGGCUGAUGAACAAGAUGGCACCUGCCGUCUGCCAGACCCUGUGCUGGAUACAGUAGUGAGCAGGCAGCAGUCAGAGCCCAUCCUCACGGAGCCAAGGGGGAAGCCACGUGAGUCAGGAUGAUCCGAGAAGGCUUGUCUCAGGAGUUAACUGGAUCAAAGGACUUUCUGGGGCCACAGGGUUAUUAUCAAGCAUCCAGGAAAUCCUCUGCUGAGCCAGCCCUGAAGGUAGUCCGGACAAUGCGUACCUACUAGGCCCUGGUAAAUAUUUAUUAAAUGAAUGAAUGAAUGAGCCACCUCAUAUAUUUCAAAUUAUGUAAAUACCAUUGAAUUUAUAUUAACUAUUGCUGUAUAAUAAACUACUCCUAAACGUAAUGGCUUAAAACAACAACGAUCUGGGAUUCCCGUCGUGGCUCAGGGGUUGACAAACCCGACUAGUAUCCAUGAGGACACAGGUUCGAUCUCUGGCCUUGCUCAGCGGUUAAGGAUCUGGCAUUGCCGUGAGCUAUGGUGUAGGUCGCAGACACAGCUCUGAUUCCACCCCAAGCCUGAGAACUUCCAUAUGCUGCGGGUGUGAUGCAAAAAAAAAAAAAAAAAGACCAAAAAAAUC
rnacentral:lncRNA from 9 species